AGUGAACGCUGGCGGUAGGCCUAACACAUGCCAGUCGAACGGCAGCACAGUAAGAGCUUGCUCUUACGGGUGGCGAGUGGCGGACGGGUGAGGAAUACAUCGGAAUCUACUUUUUCGUGGGGGAUAACGUAGGGAAACUUACGCUAAUACCGCAUACGACCUACGGGUGAAAGCAGGGGAUCUUCGGACCUUGCGCGAUUGAAUGAGCCGAUGUCGGAUUAGCUAGUUGGCGGGGUGAAGGCCCACCAAGGCGACGAUCCGUAGCUGGUCUGAGAGGAUGAUAAGCCACACUGGAACUGGGACACGGUCCAGACUCCUACGGGAGGCAGCAGUGGGGAAUAUUGGACAAUGGGCGCAAGCCUGAUCCAGCCAUACCGCGUGGGUGAAGAAGGCCUUCGGGUUGUAAAGCCCUUUUGUUGGGAAAGAAAAGCAGCAGGUUAAUACCCCGCUGUUCUGACGGUACCCAAAGAAUAAGCACCGGCUAACUUCGUG
rnacentral:rRNA from 1 species